UCCUGUUCCCAUAAAUCCACCUAGCUUGUGUUUGUGGGAGCAGAGGGAGGAUUGCUCCCCAAUCCAGGCCCAUGAAAGUGGCUUUCCCUUCCACAGCACCUCCCACCCUCUGCUGGGAGUCACAGACCUCUCCCAAGGACCUAUUCAGGAGGUUGUCUGGGGCUGUUUAAGAGGAGGGGUCUCCACUGGCUACUUUGGAGGAAACUCAACGAAAUCAAAGCCCAACUGUAGGGGCCACGAACAGACUGGAGUUUCUGGAGCAACCAAAUAGCUAAAAACAAAAAGAGGAAGCAGCAAGAGUCUGACAUUUACAAAGAUGGAGAAAUUGCUCUCUAGACACAUGAGAACAAACUGCAGAAAGAAAAAUUGUGGCAAGAUCAAUGUGGGCAACUGGGAGCUCAGCGGAUGGUCCACAGAUAGAAGGCCCUGGCCACACUGUGAUUCCAGGGCCCCAAAAACCACCAGCGCUGGUAUAAGAAGGAGGAAGACCAUGACCUGACAUUAAGAGAAAGGCUAUGUCCUGUGCUGUUGCUAGAAAAAUAAAAAGGCCACCACCAAAAGAAGCCCUCUCCUUUGUUCUGCGAGGAGGGUAAGCAGUGCAGUCCAAGGCUUCCUGGGGUGGGAAAAGGUGUAUUCUCUUCUUUAUGUGUGGAAGCCUUGCUUACCUGUGGAAGAGGAUCCCUCAGGACUUCAGGACUGUGGUUUCUACAGACUGGGGCAUGUUCAGGCCAAUGUGGAACUGAAUUCAAGCCUUAUCAAUACACACAAACAACAGAGGAGGAUCUCAGACAGGGUCUCACUGUGUUGCCCAGGCUGCAGUGCAGUGGUGUAAUCUUGGCUCACUGCAGCCUCAACCUCCUGGACUCAAGCUAUCCUCCCACCUCAGCCCCACAAGUAGGGGCCCCUCCAGAUAAUUUUUGUAUUUUUUAUAUAGAGAGGAUUUUGCCAUGUUGCCCAAGCUGAUCUCAAACUCUUGGACUCAGGCAAUCCACCUGCCUCGGCCUCCCAAAGUGCUGGGAUUACAGGCAUGAGCCACUGCACCCAGCCUUGGGUUUCCAUUUUUUAGAACAUGUUCCUGAUUUUUACAGGUUUCCUGACUUAGAGUGCUUUCUGGUUUACAGCACCAAGAAGUCAUUACUUCCCCACCAAGGUUUGCACACAUGGCCCUGACCAGAGCUGGCUCCAUGGGCCUGCAACCUGUGUAGUCAUUUGCACAAGCCCAAGGCUCCAAAAGAACUCCACAGUUGGUUUACUGUUCUGUGGCUAUUGUCUGAAAUUCUUAAUAAUUUUAUAUUUGAACUUG